rnacentral:tRNA from 1 species
GGGCCCGUAGCUCAGAUUGGACAGUAGCGUCGGCCCUCUAAGCUAGGCCGAGCGGAAAGCCGAAGGUCGAGGGUUCAAAUCCCUCCGGGCCCG